rnacentral:rRNA from 1 species
AUUGAACGCUGGCGGCAGGCCUAACACAUGCAAGUCGGGCGAGUGGCGGACGGGUGAGUAAUGUCUGGGGAACUGCCUGCUGGAGGGGGAUAACUACUGGAAACGGUAGCUAAUACCGCAUACCAUCAGAUGAACCCAUAUGGGAUUAGCUGGUAGGUGGGGUAACGGCUAACCUAGGCGACGAUCCCUAGCUGGUCUGAGAGGAUGACCAGCCAAAGUGGAACUGAGACACGGCCCAGACUCUUACGGGAGGCAGCAGUGGGGAAUAUUGCAAAAUGGGCGAAAGCCUGAGGCAGCCAGGCCGCGUGUAUGAAGAAGGCCUUCGGGUGGUAAAGUACUUUCAGUGGGGAGGCGUUACCGGCAGAAGAAGCACCGGCUAACUCCGUGCCAGCAGCCGCGGUAAUAC